GAUGAACGCUGGCGGCGUGCCUAAUACAUGCAAGUCGAGCGAACAGACGAGGAGCUUGCUCCUCUGACGUUAGCGGCGGACGGGUGAGUAACACGUGGAUAACCUACCUAUAAGACUGGGAUAACUUCGGGAAACCGGAGCUAAUACCGGAUAACAUGUUGAACCGCAUGGUUCAACAGUGAAAGACGGUCUUGCUGUCACUUAUAGAUUGAUCCGCGCCGCAUUAGCUAGUUGGUAAGGUAACGGCUUACCAAGGCAACGAUGCGUAGCCGACCUGAGAGGGUGAUCGGCCACACUGGAACUGAGACACGGUCCAGACUCCUACGGGAGGCAGCAGUAGGGAAUCUUCCGCAAUGGGCGAAAGCCUGACGGAGCAACGCCGCGUGAGUGAAGAAGGUCUUCGGAUCGUAAAACUCUGUUAUUAGGGAAGAACAAAUGUGUAAGUAACUAUGCACGUCUUGACGGUACCUAAUCAGAAAGCCACGGCUAACUACGUG
rnacentral:rRNA from 1 species